rnacentral:misc_RNA from 1 species
UACGAGGGGUCCAAGCGUUGUUCGGAAUUACUGGGCGUAAAGCGGGUGUAGGCGGCCAUGCCAGUCGGAUGUGAAAGCCCAGGGCUCAACCCUGGAAGUGCAUCCGAUACUGCGUGGCUUGAAUACUGGAGAGGGAAGUGGAAUUCCUGGUGUAGCGGUGAAAUGCGUAGAUAUCAGGAGGAACAUCGGUGGCGAAGGCGGCUUCCUGGCCAUGUAUUGACGCUCAGACCCGAAAGCGUGGGUAGCAAACAGG